CAGAGGCAACCCAGUUGGAUCUCCUUCCAUACUGUGGAAGCCUGGAACUUUCACUUUGUAAUAAAUUUCGUUACUGUUGCUAUUUGGGUCCACAUCUGCCUUUAUGAGCUGUAACACUCACUGAGGAGGUCUGCAGCUUCAUUUCUGUAAGGCAGCCAGACCAGGAGCCCGCCGGGAAGAACGAACAACGCCAGUCGCGCCACCUUAAGAGCUGUAACACACGUGGAAGGUCUGUAGCUUCACUUCUGAGCCGGCGAAACCACAAACCCACCAGAAGGAAGAAACUCCGAACACAUCUGAAUAUCAGAAGGCACAAACCCACCAGAAGGAAGAAACUCUGAACACAUCUGAAUAUCAGAAGGCACAAACUCUGGACACCACCUUUAAAAACUGUUAAUGCUCACUGCGAGGGUCCGUGGUGUCAUUUCUUGACGUCAGUGAGACCAAGAACCCACCAAUUCCGGACACAUUUAAUUUAAAAAGAUUUUAAUUCUAAGUUUAUAACCCAUUAUCUUUACUCUCCAAAAUAAAUGCUCCAGUUUUUUAUUGCUGUAUAACAUCUUCUGUGGCUUAAAACAGUAAUAAUUUUUAUUUCUCAUCUUUUCUCUAGGUGAGAAAUUUUAGAAAGAACCAGCUAAGCAGUUGUGGCUUGGAAUUUCUUAACACGUUAAGAGACAGAGCAACUGUAGCUGGAACAGAGGUGAUUGGAGGAAGUAUUGGGACAGUUGGAGACUGAUCAUCUUUUUCUUUCAUGUAGUCUCAGAAUCCAGCCAUAUGGACUCCACAUGGUCUAGACUGAGCUUCCCAACAGCAAGGUAGCCUCAGGGCUGACAAACUGCUUACGUGGCCAAUCAAGACUUUAAGAACAGGCACACCAGCUAGCAAGGUAGAGGCUGCAGCACCUUUGGUCAGCUAGCCUUGUGAGGCUCAUACAUCACUUCUGCUCUCCUCUAUUGGUAGCAAUAGUGAUCAAACGAUGCCCAGUUUCAAGAAGAGGCGGCAUACACCACACCUCUCUGCAAUGGAUGUCAAAGAAUUUGCAGAUGUUUUGAAACUGACAUAAUUGAAACAAUUAUGGUUAUCUCACACACUUGCCUAAAUAAUGAAUACCAUAUUUCCCAUAAAUGCAAAUAUUUAACAAACAUGUAUUAAGCAUUUCUUGAGUCACAGAUGCUGUGGGUAAAAAAGAUGAACACAUAGUCAGCCCCCGAAUGUUU
rnacentral:lncRNA from 1 species